GACGAACGCUGGCGGCGUGCUUAACACAUGCAAGUCGAACGGAAAGGCCCUGCUUUUGUGGGGUGCUCGAGUGGCAAACGGGUGAGUAACACGUGAGUAACCUGCCCUUGACUUUGGGAUAACUUCAGGAAACUGGGGCUAAUACCGGAUAGGAGCUCCUGCUGCAUGGUGGGGGUUGGAAAGUUUCGGCGGUUGGGGAUGGACUCGCGGCUUAUCAGCUUGUUGGUGGGGUAGUGGCUUACCAAGGCUUUGACGGGUAGCCGGCCUGAGAGGGUGACCGGCCACAUUGGGACUGAGAUACGGCCCAGACUCCUACGGGAGGCAGCAGUGGGGAAUAUUGCACAAUGGGCGGAAGCCUGAUGCAGCAACGCCGCGUGCGGGAUGACGGCCUUCGGGUUGUAAACCGCUUUCGCCUGUGACGAAGCGUGAGUGACGGUAAUGGGUAAAGAAGCACCGGCUAACUACGUGCCAGCAGCCGCGGUGAUACGUAGGGUGCGAGCGUUGUCCGGAUUUAUUGGGCGUAAAGGGCUCGUAGGUGGUUGAUCGCGUCGGAAGUGUAAUCUUGGGGCUUAACCCUGAGCGUGCUUUCGAUACGGGUUGACUUGAGGAAGGUAGGGGAGAAUGGAAUUCCUGGUGGAGCGGUGGAAUGCGCAGAUAUCAGGAGGAACACCAGUGGCGAAGGCGGUUCUCUGGGCCUUUCCUGACGCUGAGGAGCGAAAGCGUGGGGAGCGAACAGGCUUAGAUACCCUGGUAGUCCACGCUGUAAACGGUGGGUACUAGGUGUGGGGUCCAUUCCACGGGUUCCGUGCCGUAGCUAACGCUUUAAGUACCCCGCCUGGGGAGUACGGCCGCAAGGCUAAAACUCAAAGGAAUUGACGGGGCCCCGCACAAGCGGCGGAGCAUGCGGAUUAAUUCGAUGCAACGCGUAGAACCUUACCUGGGUUUGACAUGGAUCGGGAGCGCUCAGAGAUGGGUGUGCCUCUUUUGGGGUCGGUUCACAGGUGGUGCAUGGCUGUCGUCAGCUCGUGUCGUGAGAUGUUGGGUUAAGUCCCGCAACGAGCGCAACCCUUGUUCACUGUUGCCACCACGUUAUGGUGGGGACUCAGUGGAGACCGCCGGGGUCAACUCGGAGGAAGGUGGGGAUGACGUCAAGUCAUCAUGCCCCUUAUGUCCAGGGCUUCACGCAUGCUACAAUGGCUGGUACAGAGAGUGGCGAGCCUGUGAGGGUGAGCGAAUCUCGGAAAGCCGGUCUCAGUUCGGAUUGGGGUCUGCAACUCGACCUCAUGAAGUCGGAGUCGCUAGUAAUCGCAGAUCAGCAACGCUGCGGUGAAUACGUUCCCGGG
rnacentral:rRNA from 1 species